GUCCAAUGAACCAGGAGUGAAGUUGUCAGGAUUAGCAGGAACUCCUCGUCACAGUUCAGGGAGCCAGAAGUCUGAGGCUGAAAGACCAGAGCAAGAGAUCAGAGGGCACAUGGGCAAGGGCGGCCAGGAACCCGGUAAGAUGGGCAGAGACUUGCUUCUCAAGCAGGGGCAGCUCUGAUGGAAGAUAAGCUGUGGAGAGCCUCCGCUUGGCCACAGGAAUAAGCCAGACAAAGCAAGAGUGCCUUUUAUCGGUUUGGGCAUCCAGCCCGUCAUCAAACUACAAAGUGCUGAGCUCCACCUUUGUCUCAAGAGUCAUGGCACACGAUCAAGGCCCACAGCAGUCAGCGUGCCACAUUCCUUUUGCGUCGUGAUUGGCCAAAAGUGAGCAAGUGAUUAAGCCAGUGGCCUCCACCCAAGUAUAAGCUCCAUGGAGGAAACAUCCAUUCUGCUCACUACUGCAGCCACCGUGCCUAUCAUGGACCACACAUCCAGUACAGAUUUGUCGAGUGGAUGAAUAGAGAACUGGUUAUUCUUCAUUUGCUGCUAUUUGGUUCAUUCUGCACAGGGAGGCUGACCUGUACAGAUUUCAGACUUGGCGCUGGCUGGCUUCUGAGUCUGAGCAGAGGGCUGUACCAGCAGAUCAGAGAGAAAGAGAAGAGAGGCAUCAGGCUGCCUGCCUCCUGACUUAGGAGCUGACCAUAACUCCUAAGGGAUGGCAGCUCUGGAACAAGCUGGCCCUAGGCGUGGUCAUCGCUUCCCACUGUUGCUAGUUUCUGAAUGUCUCUGCGUGACUUAAAAUUUUUUUUACUGUGCCCACAACUCUGUGAGUAGUUCUCCUUUGACCCUAGCUGUAACAGAUAGAGAUAAGUUUUAAGUCUAUUGUCCAAGCAGCAGGGAGGAAGGGCCUGAACAGGGGAGACACUCAGAAAAGAAAGAUGGGGAUAGAUUAUGAUAAAUAAGCUCAACAAACUUUAGUAACCGAGUCCACAGAUGAACUAUACUUUCUGACAGCAGGCAUUAUAUUUCACUUGUUCUUUAUGUCGAUGCCUAGCUUGUAGUAGGUACUCAGUAAAUGUUGGUGAAAUGAUUGACUGGAAGGGUCAAAGACGAUUUCGUAUUUCAAUCUUGGGUGAUUCCCCUUAAAGAGAGGAAAAGUCUGAUUAAUUUGCAAGCAGUAGUUAAAGUACCAGCAAGAAAGACACAGAAUGAUACUGAAGAAAGAGUAUGGCCCCGAAAUCCAACUUUCCUACUUGAUCUUGGGUAAAUGAUUUGAGAUCCUUCUUUGAGACUGUUUCAUUAUUUGUAAAAUGGGAAUAAAAAUCCCCAACUGACAGUGCUGCCAAGAGGAAUACUUGAGAUCAUAUGUAUAGAGCAUAUAUCCGCCCUGAAAGGGCCCUUCACCUUCACAGCAUAUACUGAGAUGUGACGCAGAGAUCCAGAAACACCAGGGACCAUUCACAGGGUUUGCCUUUGAAGUUGCUCCUUGUCACCAUAAACCAAGCCCUUAGUUGCCUGUGUGUGUUAUCCUUUUUCCUGGACCCUCGCUGCGGAUUUUUAAACUCUUACUUCCACCUGCAUUUUGUGUGAUUCUACAGGGUUACAACGUGUGCUCUCGACUCCGGACUCCCUCAGGGUGGACAUGAGCCUUCCUCCUUGUGUUGUGUUUUCACUUUGAGCCCUUGAGUUAAGACCAUCAGGAAUACACUGACCCUGUAGCAGAGAUGGAAUUCAGACUGGAACAUUCCUUUCACCCUUGGUGCCCUCUGUGUCUUCUCUAAAUGUCUCUAGACCAACUCCUAUUGGUCUCAAAGAUAUA